rnacentral:rRNA from 1 species
GUGAGGAAUAUUGCGCAAUGGGGGCAACCCUGACGCAGCAACGCCGCGUGAGUGAGGAAGGUUUUCGGAUUGUAAAGCUCUGUCGAGCGGAAAGAAAUGCAUUAUGGCUAAUAUCCAUAGUGCUUGACGGUACCGCUAGAGGAAGCACCGGCUAACUCCGUGCCAGCAGCCGCGGUAAUACGGGGGGUGCAAGCGUUGUUCGGAAUCAUUGGGCGUAAAGAGCGUGUAGGCGGCUGGACAAGUCAGAUGUGAAAUCCCUGGGCUUAACCCAGGAAGUGCAUUUGAAACUGUCCUGCUGGAGUAAGGGAGAGGAAAGUGGAAUUCCUGGUGUAGAGGUGAAAUUCGUAGAUAUCAGGAGGAACACCGGUGGCGAAGGCGACUUUCUGGCCCUAUACUGACGCUGAGACGCGAAAGCGUGGGUAGCAAACAGGAUUAGAAACCCCAGUAGUCC